CUUUAAAAGCUGUUUUUCAGUUCAUAAAUGUUGCAUGGCUUAGACAAAAAAAGACAAAAUAUAUCUAAGUUUUUUAAAGUAAUAAUCCUUAUCAGUGAAUUUUAUUCUAUUGGUUUUAUUUUAACUUUUUUAUUUUACAUUAUGCUAGCUGUUAAGAAGAAAUCCUGAACGGCGCCUUGGGGCUAGCGAGAAAGAUGCAGAGGAUGUAAAAAAGCACCCAUUUUUCCGGCUAAUUGAUUGGAGCGCUCUGAUGGACAAAAAAGUAAAGCCACCAUUUAUACCUACCAUAAGAGGACGAGAAGAUGUUAGUAAUUUUGAUGAUGAAUUUACCUCAGAAGCACCUAUUCUGACUCCACCUCGAGAACCAAGGAUACUUUCGGAAGAGGAGCAGGAAAUGUUCAGAGAUUUUGACUACA
rnacentral:lncRNA from 10 species